AGAGGGAUAGCUGGGUCAAAUGGUGGUUCCAUUCCCAAUUUUCCAAGGAAUCUCCAUAUUGCUUUCCAUAUUGGUUUGCACCAAUUUGCAGUCCCACUAGCAGU
rnacentral:pre_miRNA from 1 species